GACGAACGCUGGCGGCGUGCUUAACACAUGCAAGUCGAACGGUAAGGCCCUUCGGGGUACACGAGUGGCGAACGGGUGAGUAACACGUGGGUGAUCUGCCCUGCACUUCGUGAUCAGCCUGGGAAACUGGGUCUAAUACCGGAUAGGACAACUGCCUGCAUGGGUGGUGGUGGAAAGCUUUUGCGGUGUGGGAUGGGCACGCGGCCUAUCAGCUUGUUGGUGGGGUGAUGGCCUACCAAGGCGACGACGGGUAGCCGGCCUGAGGGGGGGACCGGCCACACUGGGACGGAGAUACGGCCCAGACUCCUACGGGAGGCAGCAGUGGGGAAUAUUGCACAAUGGGCGCAAGCCUGAUGCAGCGACGCCGCGUGAGGGAUGACGGCCUUCGGGUUGUAAACCUCUUUCAGCACCGACGAAGCGCAAGUGACGGUAGGUGCAGAAGAAGGACCGGCCAACUACGUGCCAGCAGCCGCAGUAA
rnacentral:rRNA from 1 species